rnacentral:lncRNA from 1 species
AGAUUGCUUUCAAUACUCACACUGCAGCCACCACAGAGGUCCUGGAACAUAUUUCUGAGUGGCCCUUUGUGAGUGUUUCUUGGGGCAAUAUACUCAGGAAUGGGGAUGCUGGGUGAGAGGGCAUAUGUACACUUGUAAGUACUGCCAGCUCUUCUUCAGGAUUCCUGCCAGGCAGUCUGCACAGUAGCAGCAGUGAGCUCCAGAACAACAUUCUUAUCUGCUGCUCCAGUUUCUACAUUUUACUUAUGAAAAGAACUGGCCAGUCUGCUGGAGGGAACAUUUUCCAUAAGUGCCCCAGAUAGUGACAUGGUUCCCUCCCUUUCUUCAGAAGGUCUUAUUUCAAACAUCACAACACCACACCAUGCAAAGAGCCACCACUAUGUCCUGUCACUUGCCUUUCUUCCCACCUUGCUGUAUUUUUCUUCAUAAUUUUUACAAUUUGAUAUCUGCAUAUGUCUGUUUUUGAUGGUUGUCUCCUACACACACACAAAAGGUAGCAUUGGGGUGCAUAGUAGAUGAUCAAAACUUGUCGUGAUGAAAUGACCCAGAGCCUACUUAACCAGAUGCCAUCCAAAGGAAGCGUCCCUCCUCAUCCACCUCAUCCUCACUCAGUGUAGGCAAAGAGUAUUGGAGGCACUGAACCUCCCUGAUCUCUCUCUACAAUUUGGCUCACCAUGCACAGGAGGUAAGGACACUAGGACAUUCUAUUAACACAUGCAUCUAUAAUUUCUCUGGGUAGAAUUUGAGUUCCAUCCAUGUUUAAGUUACCGUGGUAUACUAAGUGUUUGUAGAAAGGUUUCCUUGGUCACAGUUUUCUGUUGAGUGGGUGAAUGAAAUCUAUGCCUGGUCUCUACUAUCAUUUAAUGAUCCAAAGACAAAGGAAAAAAUUUGGAAACAAGGC